UGGGAAUGUAUGUUACCAGGCUACCAGUGAAGGGAUAUCCAGCAUACCAAUACCACAUGGGAAACACUCCACUAUCCACCACAGAGGCAGAGAAAGACCUGGGAGUGUAUGUUACCAGGCUACCAGUGAAGGGAUAUCCAGCAUACCAAUACCACAUGGGAAACACUCCACUAUCCACCACAGAGGCAGAGAAAGACCUGGGAGUGUAUGUUACCAGGCUACCAGUGAAGGGAUAUCCAGCACACCAAUACCACAUGGAAAACACUCCACUAUCCACCACAGAGGCAGAGAAAGACCUGGGAGUGUAUG